UGACAACCAUCUGUCUUUCCCCACCCUACCCAGAAGACCAGCUCGGCAGGGCUGGGAAGGACUUCAGACUAUAUCUUUCGCGGUCCUCUUAUCCAGGUUGGAUGUAAGGAGAAGAGCACAUCACGAUUCAGAUUAGCGGCUCAUCAAGUUGUCAAAAGCCACAUGCAGCUGGUAGCUGCCAUAUUGGACGGCACAGCUCUGUAACCUAAAACAUCUGGACAUGCACUUGGAAAAGUCAAGUUUUUAAAAAAUUGGGUUUUGGUGAAUUUGUUUUCCUACUCAUCCCAGAAUAACUGACUGAAAGAGCUGCGGCUGGGUCACCAGUCGCUGGCUGGCUAAGGGCAGAACCCAUCUGUCCCUGGCUUGUUAGACCCUUCGUAAGCCACCCACCCUCCUCAGGGAGACUGAGCCUGGA
rnacentral:lncRNA from 1 species